CCUUCUCUGUUUCUCAUAGAACCCAAUCAAUCCAUUAUCUUUCUCAACGAUUUGGCUGUCAAGGAGACCAAGGAGUUCGAUUUGGCUGUAAAGGAGACCAAGGAGUUCGAGUUGCAGACUUGGGAGUUCGAUUAUUGGAGUUUGAUUUGCAGCCUUCGGGUUCGAUUUGGAUUUUGGAGUUCGAUUUGCAGACUUGGAGUUCGAUUUGCAGACUUGAAGAGGAACAAUAAGAACAACAACAACACCCACAUCAACUGUAGCAAACCAAUUCCGGGCAACAAUGAGUUCUAGUACUACUACUAGUGGGACAACAAAGAAAGAUCAUGCUUGAUAGUGAUGGUGGUGAUAGUGAUGGUGGGGAUAGUUUGGAUGGUGAUCUUCUAGUUGAUGAGGAAGAUGAUUUCCAAGCAUGAAGUAGAUUUCAACAUUUGUUCUUGAUCUUUGGUGUUUGAACUUUAAAUCCUUGAUUUCAUUUUAUGUUGGUAAUUUUGUUGAAUUAUAUGCUUCUAGUACUUCAUUUAUUGUGAGUGAAUUCAUGUUCUUUUGGUUGAA